AUAAAAUUAAUAAGGGCAUUUGGUGGAUGCCUUGGCGCUAAAAGGCGAUGAAGGACGUAACAAGCUGCGAUAAGCUUCGGGGAGCUGCUAAUAAGCUUUGAUCCGGAGAUUUCCGAAUGGGGGAACCCGUCCGUUUACGGACACUUUGGAGUUAAUAAAUACCUCCAAAGAGCAAACCUGGCGAACUGAAAUAUCUAAGUAGCCAGAGGAAAAGAAAUCAAUUGAGACUCCGUUAGUAGUGACGAGCGAACACGGACCAGGCCAGUCUUACAAUCAUCAAAACCAGAAUGGGGUGGAAAACCCAACCAUAGAAGGUGAUAGUCCUGUAAGGGUAACGGAUGAAUGUAAGCUCGAGUAAGGCGAAACACGUGGAAUUUUGUCUGAAGAUAGGGGGACCACCCUCUAAGCCUAAGUACUCUUUAGCGACCGAUAGUGAACUAGUACCGUGAGGGAAAGGUGAAAAGAACCCAGAUGAUGGGAGUGAAAUAGACCUGAAACCGAAUGCCUACAAACAGUCGGAGCAACCUGUUUUACAGUGUUGUGACGGCGUACCUUUUGCAUAAUGGGUCAGCGAGUUAGUCUAUCAAGCAAGCUUAAGCCGUAAGGUGUAGGCGCAGCGAAAGCGAGUCUGAAUAGGGCGCUUUAGUUUGAUGGACUAGACCCGAAACCGAGUGAUCUAACUAUGGCCAGGUUGAAGGUAAGGUAACACUUACUGGAGGACCGAACCCGUUAAUGUUGAAAAAUUAUGGGAUGAGCUGUGGUUAGGGGUGAAAGGCUAAUCAAACUCGGAUAUAGCUGGUUCUCCGCGAAAUCUAUUUAAGUAGAGCGUUACGUGUUUCUGAUUGAAGGUAGAGCACUGGAUGGAAAGUGGGGUCGAAAGAUUUACUGCCUCCAACCAAACUCCGAAUGUUAAUCAGUUAAACGUAGCAGACAGACUGCGAGUGCUAACAUCCGUAGUCAAGAGGGAAACAACCCAGACCGCAAUCUAAGGUCCCUAAAUAAUGGCUAAGUGUGCAAGGAAGUAAGAAAGCCAAGACAGCCAGGAGGUUGGCUUAGAAGCAGCCACCCUUUAAAGAAAGCGUAAUAGCUCACUGGUCUAAUUAAGCUUUCUUGCGCCGACAAUGUACCGGGGCUCAAGCCAUUUACCGAAGAUGUGGAUUUACUUUCGCAUCAAGGCUUUUUCUAUGUUAUAGAGCUAAGAUUAAAUCGCUUUUUUAGCGGUUUUUUCAAAAAGGUUCUAUAUCUUAGAAUAAGCCUUGAUAAGCCGAUUGUAAGUGGUAGCGGAGCGUUCUGUAAGCCUGUGAAGGUAAAUCGUGAGUUUUACUGGAGGUAUCAGAAGUGAGAAUGCUGACAUAAGUAACGAUAAAGAGUGUGAGAAACACUCUCGCCGAAAGUCCAAGGUUUCCUGCGUAAAGUUAAUCUGCGCAGGGUUAGUCGGCCCCUAAGGCGAGGCUGAAAGGCGUAGUCGAUGGGAAUCAGGUUAAUAUUCCUGAACCAGGAGGAAAGUGACUAAGUGACGAGUUUAUUUGCGCUUAUUGGAUUGUGCAAGUAAUUAGAAGCUUACAGGAAAUAGCACCUCCAUUAAAGACCGUACCCCAAACCGACACAGGUGGGCUGGUAGAGCAUACUAAGGCGCUUGAGAGAACAACACUGAAGGAACUCGGCAAAUUGCAUCUGUAACUUCGGGAUAAAGAUGACCUUGCCUGGGCAACCAGGUUAAGGUGACACAAACUAGGGGGUAGCGACUGUUUAUUAAAAACACAGGGCUCUGCUAAGUCAAUAGACGAUGUAUAGGGUCUGACGCCUGCCCGGUGCUGGAAGAUUAAAAGGAGGAGUGCAAGCUUCGAAUUGAAGUCCCAGUAAACGGCGGCCGUAACUAUGACGGUCCUAAGGUAGCGAAAUUCCUUGUCGGGUAAGUUCCGACCCGCAUGAAUGGCGUAACGACUUCCCCGCUGUCUCCAGUGUUGACUCAGUGAAAUUGGAUUCUCCGUGCAGAUACGGAGUUCCCGCGGUUAGACGAAUAGACCCCGUGAACCUUUACUACAGCUUUGUAUUGAUAGCAAAAAGUAAAUAUCCAGGAUAGGUGGGAGACUUUGAAGUAUGGGCGCCAGCUUAUAUGGAGUCACCCUUGGGAUACCACCUAUUUGCUUUUUGUUAUCUAACUGAGACCUUUGAAUCAAGGUCCAGAACAGUGCAUGGUGGGUAGUUUGACUGGGGCGGUCGCCUCCCAAAGAGUAACGGAGGCGCGCGAUGGUUAGCUCAGGUUGGUUAGAAAUCAACUGCUAGAGUGUAAUGGCAUAAGCUAGCCUGACUGCGAGUCCUACAAGACGAGCAGAGACGAAAGUCGGUCAUAGUGAUCCGGUGGUCCCGUGUGGAAGGGCCAUCGCUCAACGAAUAAAAGGUACUCCGGGGAUAACAGGCUAAUGGUUUCCAAGAGUUCAUAUCGACGAAACUGUUUGGCACCUCGAUGUCGACUCAUCACAUCCUGGGGCUGAAGAAUGUCCCAAGGGUUCGGCUGUUCGCCGAUUAAAGUGGUACGUGAGUUGGGUUUAGAACGUCGUGAGACAGUUUGGUUUCUAUCUACCGUGGGUGUAUGAGAUUUGAGAGGACCUGCCUUUUGUACGUAAGGACCAAGGUGGACAUACCUCUGGUGCACCAAUUGUUACGCCAGUAGCAUAGUUGGGUAGCUAAGUAUGGAAAAGAUAACCGCUGAAUGCAUCUAAGUGGGAAGCUUGCCUCAAAACUAAAUCUUAUAGAAUCGUGGUAGACCACCACGUUGAUAGGCCAGGUGUGUAAGCGUGGUAACGCGUUGAGCUAACUGGUACUAAAAUUCGAUCAAUUUUAU
rnacentral:rRNA from 1 species